rnacentral:rRNA from 1 species
GAAUCCCAAGUGCGAGGGCAUAUUAGCCCUCGCUUUUCUCGACUGUAAGGUGGUCGACGAAUAAGAGCUGGGCAAGACCGGUGCCAGCCGCCGCGGUAAUACCGGCAGCUCAAGUGAUGUCCCAUAUUAUUGGGCCUAAAGCGUCCGUAGCUGGCCGACCAAGUCUCCCGGGAAAUCCACCCGCCCAACGGGUGGGCGUCCGGUAGAAACUGGCCGGCUUGGAACCGGAAGGCUCAGAGAGUACGUCCGGGGUAGGAGUGAAAUCCCGUAAUCCCGGACGGACUACCGAUGGCGAAAGCACUCUGAGAAGACGGCUUCGACAGUGAGGGACGAAAGCUCGGGUCUCAAACCGGAUUAGAUACCCGGGUAGUCCGAGCUGUAAACGAUGCUCGUUAGGUGUGGCACCCACUACGAGUGGGUGCUGCGCCGUAGGGAAGCCGCUAAACGAG